CGUCGGCCAGCGUCCACGGCCUGUGCCGCUGAGCUCCCUGUUGUGUGGGGUGAGGACCCACUUAGUGCAAAGGAGAGCCCACCUCCGGCAGAGCAAAGAGACAUCAUCUUAAAAGUGGGAGGUACCAUGUUCCCCACCUCAGUUAAUGACAGGAGGACUGAAGAAGCCAGGUGAAGCUCUAUAACAGAAAAGCACACAGAUCUCAUGUUAUAAGCCAGAAGCAGAAUCCAGUAUGGAGAGCAAAGCAUUCUAGACAUGCUGAUACUUUAUGUGCCCGAGAACUGACAUUUACAACCCAGAGGUACUUUACUACUAAUGAUCUUUGAAGUUAACAAGAUGAAAAUGAGAGGCCACGGAGAACAGAUGGCUUGCCCAAGAUCACCACCCAAUGUGGGACAAUCCAGGAGUGGAAGGCAGGUCACCUACCCAAGGUAGCAGAGAAGAGUACUCAUCAAUAAUGCCCUUUUCCUUAGCCUUCAGAAAAUAUCUACAAAUGCACCACCACUGAAAGGUGACAAGCUUUUAUAGAUUCAUAGUGACUUACAACCAGCGUGGCUGCAGAAAGGAAAAGACGAUCAGUUUUCACAUGUCAUGUAGCAGAGCAAAAGGGAAAAUGAGAAAUGCUACUAAAAAUGCUGAAAUGCUAAUAGGUGCGAAGUCUCUAAUAAAUCCUUCUGUCAAUUCCAUGUCCAAAUUACAAAGAACCUGGAGACAUAGGUUCUGAUGAAAGCGUUCCUAUUCAGGUGAGGGGAAGCAGAAAAUCAGUCUCCAGACUGGCUUAGCUAUCUAAAUGUUCUAAUUAAA